rnacentral:rRNA from 1 species
AGAACUUAGCAGAGAUGCUUUGGUGCCUUCGGGAACUCUGAGACAGGUGCUGCAUGGCUGUCGUCAGCUCGUGUUGUGAAAUGUUGGGUUAAGUCCCGCAACGAGCGCAACCCUUAUCCUUUGUUGCCAGCGGCUCGGCCGGGAACUCAAAGGAGACUGCCGGUGAUAAACCGGAGGAAGGUGGGGAUGACGUCAAGUCAUCAUGGCCCUUACGGCCAGGGCUACACACGUGCUACAAUGGCGCAUACAAAGAGAAGCGACCUCGCGAGAGCAAGCGGACCUCAUAAAGUGCGUCGUAGUCCGGAUUGGAGUCUGCAGCUCGACUCCAUGAAGUCGGAAUCGCUAGUAAUCGUAGAUCAGAAUGCUACGGUGAAUACGUUCCCGGGCCUUGUACACACCGCCCGUCACACCAUGGGAGUGGGUUGCAAAAGAAGUAGGUAGCUUAACCUUCGGGAGGGCGCUUACCACUUUGUGAUUCAUGACUGGGGUGAAGUCGUAACAAGGUAAGCGUAGCGAG